AAACCAUGCCCCCCGCCCUACCUCCGGCUUCGCCGCGGGCACACUCGCGCGCAUUUUGCAAUGCACCUCGCCUCCACCUCCGCGCGACCGCCCGGCGCACGCCGACGCCUUCGGAGCCCUCGUCCACCUCCGCCCCAUCUGCGCGCACCCCUUCAGCGCCCUCAUCUCCAGCUUCAUCCUCGCUGGCGACCCGUCCGCGGCUUUUCGCGCCUCGCCACGGGGGACUCUGCGGCUCUGCGCUCGUGCGGCCCGACGGUUACACGCUCCCCUCCGCGUGCGCGCGGCUCGUGGGGAUCGGCGAGGGCCGGUAGGUGCACGCGGUCGCGGGAAAGGCUGGGUUCCUGGGGCGCCUGCCGCCGGUAUGGAACGCGCUGGUCACGGUCUACGGCGCAUGCGGGGACGCGAGGAGGGCGUUCGACGAAAUGGCCGACCGGCAUGUCGUGUCGCGUGCGGGAGGCUGGGGGUGGUGCGGGCUGAGAGAACGGUGCACAGUCAGUAUGUCGACAGGGAGAGGGAGCUGAGCAUCACUGUUGGGAAUGCAGUGUUGGAUAUGUAUGUGAAAUGCGAGAUGUAGCCAGACGGGGUUUUGACAGGAUUCCUGUGAAGGACAUUGUCUAUUGGACGGUUAUGAUCAGCGGAUUGGUGCAGUGCAAGUGUCCAAAUGUUGCCACUCCGGUUUGGUGCCAGAUGGUCAUCGGUUUUUUGAGUUGAUGACAGUAUCAUACAAGCCCUCAAGCCCUCUCCAUUGGAAGAGCACUAUGGUUGCAUGAUGGUUCUUCUUGGCAGAGGUCGCCUAGUCCAGGAGGCAUACGAAGUAAUUAGUGCUAUGCCAAUGGUACCUGCUGUUUCACAUGGGAAGCUCUCCUGAGUACAUGCCAAGCUUAUGGCCAAAUGGAUUUCUCUCAUCAGAUUCUUAUGCAUGUUCAGGAAUUGGAGUCCUCUGAUAGUGGAGUUUAUGUCCUCUCCAAGGUAUAUACUGUAAAUGAUAGAUGGACAGAUGUGAUGAAGGUUAAAGGAUUGAUGUCUAAGAAAGAAAUGCACAAGGAUCCAGGAUCCAGUGCAGUUGAAGUGAAUAGGAAAAUCAGUGAAUUCUUAGUUGUGCAGAAGAAUUGUUCGCAUAUUCAUGAGAUAUGGGCUGUUCUUUCCAUACUAAUGAAGCAACUUCAUUUUGAGGGCCCUGUAGUUCUUCUGGCAGAUUAUUGGUUUCUCUGAAGAUCCAUUGAACAUCUACUUAGUCAAUUGGUCUAAAGGAUUGGACGCAAGAUUGAUUGGUUAUUGUGCUACCAAGACCGCAUGAAUUACUAUGAUGAUCAAGACUAACACUAACCUUGGUGGCGGCUACAUAUUUAAGUGCUUGGACAAGAUUAACGGUGAUUCCAUCAUUAUGAUUGGUUGAUGGACAAAAGAGAUCUGACUCUUGCAGGAUAUUAUUUGAGUCCAGAGAGAAUUGCGUUGUGAUAUUUUUAUAGCAGGUGGUGAAAAGGUUCGGGCAUUGGGCACUGAGACACUGACACUAUUGAGAUUGGUAGAGUUCUGUCACGCAGACGCGCAUGUGCUGCACAGCUUAGCACUGUGUUAUAUAAACCUCCUCAAACAAACAACCCUGGAAUGCAGUUGCUCUGUAAAGAGCUAUAGGGCCUGAGGCAAGCAUUGUUUUGUUCUUAUACCCUGCAGACAACUUGUUAGUUUGAUGAAGGGUAUCUGCUUUUGUGAACAUGACUGGAACUACAAUUUUUAUAUGCAUCAACAUCAAGUUUCCCUCUCUGAAGACAUAGAUUGUUGUCAACGAUGGCGAAAUUGUAAGAUAAAUUCAUUCUCUAAGUGCCGUGUUUUGCAGUGGCAGACAGGUCAAAGUAACUUCCAAUUGAAGCUACUUUUCAAGGCCCAGCAUUUACUAUCAUUUUGCGACGUGCCUGAGCUUGUGCAUCUUUUCACGUUUAAUGAAUACUCCUUGCAUAGCACUUUCAGUGAUCUGGUACUUAUCUAAUAUACCGUCUGCCUCCACACCCAUUCUCCCUUUGACAAUUGAAGAACACAGCAGCCACAGGAGGUCCAAGAUUAUAAAGUGCUGAAAAGUCUCUAGUGUUGAAAUUCGGUCUCCAUCCUGGAGCAUAAACAGUUUGCUGGACAGAUUGGCGGAAAAGUACAAAGACAAAGCGAUGUAUUCCAGCAGUUGGCUUUGGAUUUUCAUAACUGACAAUUUCAUUUCCUGUAAUAACAUUUGUGCAAACAUGUCAAACUGAAGAAAUCAAAUCCACUUUCAGCGGAGUUGGAUUGCACAAUUUUUACUACAAUCACAAUCCAAAGAAUCAUCAUCAUGGACAUGACAGCCAGCUGCUUACUAUUCAGGCUGGAGCAUACAUUCUCGGGAAGAGCCGAAGAGGCUACUGACCUGGUGGGGAGGCCUGUUUUACCUCAGCUCAGCGAAUAUCACCUUCUCAGUACAAAUGGUGGUGGAUGAAGUUCCCUGACUGAAACAUUGUUUGCUGGGAAUAUUAGGCUUCAACCAUGAAAAGCAACAAGGGAGUUUCUUGACACUUGUUCGUUGUCUGCCCCCAACAUAAUAAUUUCUUUCUUCAUUGGUAAUGGGCUUCUACUAAGAUGCUUGGGAAGCAAAUUAGUGGUACAGCUGUGCGGUUUAUUUCAGUGCAUGCCGACAUCUAGAACUCAGAAUCAAGUCUUGUUCAUCCUCCAAAGAUUGUAAAAUAGUGCUUUUCAGAUAAUGAUGACAAGGUGUAUUAUUCUGGUAUAUCUAUUCUUAUAUGUCAAAUCUUUCUAUCUAAACCUAUCUCUCCAUGGUUGUUUCUGUCCUUUUAUUUCAGCCCAGAGAAAUCUAGUAAUGUUAUUUAAACAUGUAAGUUCUGUUUUUUAGUUGCCAGAAAAAAUGAAACUAAAUGUAUUUUGCUUAUCAAUUAUGCUGAUUAAUUCCCUCGUCUGCGGAAAUUAUGAUUUAUAGUCACCUGAGUAACAUGGACAAUAGACGUUUUACUCUCAUAGUAUCACUACUGCACUUUUACUUCACUAGGGUAACAGUCCUGACUGAAACCACCAUAGCACCCUGGAAGAUUCACUUGGAGCAUCUCUGAUGCUCCUAUGGCACUUCCUGAGAGGUAGUGCGGAUUGUAACGUAGAAGUUAUUGCAGCAUAUGUUGCUAGUAAAAUUUCUACGCAAAUUCAAUCUUACUCCGUACAUCCCUCCUAGUUUUUCUGAUGGAAUAUGAUCUCUUGACGGUCAGCUCUUAGUGUAGCUUCUGAACAGCUCUCACAGAGGCACAUUGGCUCUUUGGCCUAUCUGUCGAGACUCCAUGCUGUCCUUCCAGCUUUCUGAUAGAAUAUGAUUUGCAAAACACAAUGUCCUAAUCUUUCUAUCAUAACAAGAAUAUGUCUGCGGAUUUGAUGGGCUUGAGAUAAAGAGGGGGCGGAAAGUGGGGAAAUAGAUAAGGUUUUACUACAUUUGUUCUUGCAUAAUAGGGAGGGUCCCUGGAAUCUCAUCUUAUUCCUGUGAUUUACACCAUAUGUUCCAUGGCAACCGCCCCCCUUCUGAUGUCGUGUUCCCACUUGCAGAAUACAGGCCUAGGCCUGGCCUUCAGCUGAAGAAGGCUCUCCAUCUGUGUCUGGCUGAAAGAUCUCAUCUGAUCAAACGAAGGCGAUUCACUAUCCACUAUCCAGGGCGCUCUUCUUCUCUGGAGGCAGUGCGUGUUCUCCGACCGGUUGAUAGGCACGGGGCUUCCGAGAAAGAUCCGGAGCAGGAAAGGCACGGAGGCCGGUUACGUGGACGAAGUGAAUCGUCAGGUUGAGGGAAUCGACGGGUGCCGAACUGUCGCUGGCGUGACAAUCUUGACCGGAGAACAGGUGAGCCAGGCGCCAUGCCCGUUCACGUGGGAGCAUCCCAUUCGUCGCUUGACGGAUGAGGACUUGCAGGAGCCGUGGUCCUGACGGGUCGCCGUCGCCGGAGACGGACGGGAGGCUCUUUUGAGGCAAGUGAAGUCUCGGCACCCUCCCCAAACCAAAUCCCAGGAGGCGGACAGGCGGUGUCAUGGAAUGGGAAAGGUUCCGCCAGCGGUGGAAUGAUCCAGACGAUCUGGUGUGCUUUCAUCCAUCCAGUUGGUGAGGGAAAUGGGAGCGGAUCUGAUGUACCCUGUCGCCGGAAUUAUUGGCACAUUGGCAAGAGAUAAAGCCGGCGGUGCCUUUUCUCCAUUGCACAAACGGGAUUGGCUGGUAAACCCAACUUUUAUCCACUAGUUGUUCGUGGAGAUAGGCUGCUUCAGGCCACUGAGAUUAGAUGGCGACCUUGGAAUGUGGAAUCAGCGAUGGCAAGUUUGUUUAUCUGAGACUGAUUUCAGACUCGAGAGCGGACUGGAUCCUAAAAUGGGGAGAAGCUGAUUUGCCGUGCGAUCUGAAGAGACCGCUUGAUCGGUACUUCGGACAGUGGUCACUGUAGCGUGUGAGGUCAGUACAUAUACGUUGCGUGGAACAGAGGCUACUGCUCUAUCGGAAUCUACACCCAUCGGUGGACAGGACUUGGAACGGCGUGCAAAACAGUACAGAAGCUGUACUGGGUGCAAUCACUUGAGCUCAUCCGGUGAUACAUCACCAUGACGCCACUGUCUCAUUUACUCCCAUAUUGCUGGGGAACAAUCCAACAAUAACAGCAUUUUUUUAGACUUGCCAUCCUUCACCAUCUUAUUACCAAUUUCAGGAUGGAACA